rnacentral:rRNA from 1 species
UACAGAGGUCCCGAGCGUUGUUCGGAUUUAUUGGGCGUAAAGGGUGCGUAGGCGGCGGAGUAAGUUGGGUGUGAAAUCCCGGGGCUUAACCUCGGAAUUGCAUUCAAUACUGCUUCGCUUGAGUACUGGAGAGGAGGCUGGAAUUUACGGUGUAGCAGUGAAAUGCGUAGAUAUCGUAAGGAAGGCCGGUGGCGAAAGCGAGCCUCUGGACAGUUACUGACGCUGAUGCACGAAGGCCAGGGGGAGCAAACGGG